GUUGAACGCUGGCGGCAGGCUUAACACAUGCAAGUCGAGCGGAGACUUCGGUCUUAGCGGCGAACGGGUGAGUAAUACCUAGGAAUCUGCCUAUUAGUGGGGGAUAACGAAUCGAAAGGUUCGCUAAUACCGCAUACGUCCUACGGGAGAAAGGGGGGGAUCUUCGGACCUCUCGCUAAUAGAUGAGCCUAGGCCGGAUUAGCUAGUUGGUAGGGUAAAGGCCUACCAAGGCGACGAUCUGUAGCUGGUCUGAGAGGAUGGCCAGCCACACUGGAACUGAGACACGGUCCAGACUCCUACGGGAGGCAGCAGUGGGGAAUAUUGGACAAUGGGGGCAACCCUGAUCCAGCCAUGCCGCGUGUGUGAAGAAGGCC
rnacentral:rRNA from 1 species